rnacentral:rRNA from 1 species
AUACGGAGGAUGCGAGCGUUAUCCGGAUUUAUUGGGUUUAAAGGGAGCGUAGGUGGGAUAUUAAGUCAGCUGUGAAAGUUUGGGGCUCAACCUUAAAAUUGCAGUUGAUACUGGUUUCCUUGAGUACGGUACAGGUGGGCGGAAUUCGUGGUGUAGCGGUGAAAUGCUUAGAUAUCACGAAGAACUCCGAUCGCGAAGGCAGCUCACCGGGCCGGAACUGACACUGAUGCUCGAAAGUGCGGGUAUCAAACAGGAUUAGAUACCCUGGUAGUCCGCACGGUAAACGAUGAAUACUCGCUGUUUGCGAUACACUGUAAGCGGCCAAGCGAAAGCGUUAAGUAUUCCACCUGGGGAGUACGCCGGCAACGGUGAAACUCAAAGGAAUUGGCGGGG